GGGUGAUGGGGAUGGGGCAGUCUGGGCAGGCCCGGAACCGAGGGCGCCUCCUCCCAAGUUCAGCCCAGCGACCCGAGCUAAGGACUCGGGAGUGGCGCGCCACGGAGGGCGCAGCCGAAUCCAGCCACCCAGAGGCUGCUCUGGGCUCCGGGAUCCGGAGCGAGCCAGCGCUGCUCGGGUGCUGCGGGCUCGGCCCGGACCCGGGAGCUGAGGGGUGUGCGCUGGGGUAUUGCCAGGAACUUACAGCGUAGACGCGUAUUAAACCUGAUGGAAAGUCGAGGACUCUCCGGGCUCCGGGUCCUCCUGGCAACUUACGCGCCUUAGGGCUGGGGACUCUGCGGACGGGUCCCGGUCUGUGACCGCAGCUGCCCUUGGAGCAGCCUCCGCCGCGCCUGCCAGGUUCCAAUGUUCCAUCAGAGGCUUUAGCUAAGUUUUGGACGCCUCUCAGAACUCUGGGACCCCGGAUGUUUCGACUCGAUUACACAAGAUGAAUGACCUCUCAUUGAGAUGUUUCAGGUUGGGGAUAUAAUUUUUACAAACUUAAGAAUUAUGUUUAGGAAAGUUAUUUAAUGACAUGGGGAAAUGCUCAUAUUUUUAAAUGGAAAGCUCAGUUUGCAAAAUCACGUAGAAAUUCGGAUGUCAACUGUGAAAAUAAAUGUAUAAAGGCAUUUUAAAAAUGGAAAGAAAUGUACCAAAACAUUUACAGUAGCUAUGGUGAUAGAAAAAUGGAUUUUUGUUUUCUUUGUAAUUUUCUGAUUUCCCAGAUGUUCUACGUUGAGCAUGUAUUUUAUAAUCAGGACAAUGUUGUUUUGAAACUCAAUGCUUUUUGCAUUAGAACUUCAAAGAACUUUUUUAUUUUAGUGUAAUAGCUCCAAAAUUAACUGCAAAUUAAUAAUAGUAUUCUCUUGGUUUUCUUAGGGGCUAGUGCCAUGACUUUCGAGACAAGAUUUUACUUAGGACCUUCAGUACAAAAAGAAGUGACAAUAGGGAUGCCCCAUUCGCACCCUCCCAGACCUCCUUCGCCAACCAGAAGAGAAGCAGUAGCACUGACUUUUGUUGACACUUACACACGCUAGGAACUGGGGUACAAAAAUGAAGAUUUGAAGAUGCAUGUUUCCUGCUCUCAAGGAUCUUCAGAGAUAGAUGUGUCUUAUGUAACAGUUAUGGAGUCCAUUAACAUGAAGCACUAAAGCACAAAAAAGAAAUGAAAGAGAUUUAUAAGCAUAUGAAAUGCCCUCACCAGAGACAGUUGAAAUAAUAAAUCCAAAGUCAAAGGAACAUUUGUGAAGUUACUACAAGUAGAUUUAUCUACUUCAAAACAUGUUUUGUGGGACUGAAUCAUACCAUCUAUUAUGCUUAAUUUAAAAGGUAAAAUAUACAAAUUGACUCUCAUUUAUUGGUUUAACGAUACCUCACUGUAUUAAAGGAAACCUUACUAUUGUAGAAGAGAGAAAUCUCACUUUAAAUACUUCUCUGUCAUUUGCAUUCUUGGGGAUAGAAAUUGCCUUAAUGAUUUUUUUUUAAAAAUUGGAAAUUUGGGAAAGCUUAAAAUAUUUGUAUUUUUAAGUGACGUUAAAAGACUUCCAGCACUACUGUUUCACAAAAAUACCCAGUUAUGAGCCCAAGCGCUGGUAGCAACAGUAGUCUAGAGGGCAACUUUUCCUUGGCUGCAACUUGAGAUAUAAUUAGUAUCUUCAGAAACAACAUCAUCCCCCCCACCAAAAAUAAAGUUGACGAAGUAAAAUGGUGGCAUCUAUUUCCUCGUUAAAACAUCAGAUUGACAAAGUCCAUGUACUACUCUGUUUCAAAAAGUUCCAGCUCUUUUAAACACUGGCAUUCUUAUCAUUUUGUGCGUUCAGUGCUGGUCACUGGCUAACAGUGUCUGCAUGGAUUUCUCCUUGAAUAUCUUUCUUCCAUCAACUGAUAAGCCAGUCUCUCCUAGGAUUUCUGGUCAAGAGCACUGCUCAAAAAAGAAAGCUGGUAGUACAUAUUUGAAAUUGUUGCAGACAACAUUCCUUCUCUUCUUGUUCAGUUUGUUUGUUUCUAUUUGAAGGUAAGUCUAAAGGCUACUUACUGAGCUUUCAGGUUGAGAUGGCCCCGGCACCAGAGUGGGAGUUUAAUAUGCUUUCCUUGGAGAAGAAAGACACUGACAUUGUAAAUCUAGCCUGUAUUUGCUGUCGUAGGGCUAAUCCCUGGCCAUAAAAUUAGAGUUAAAUAUAAAAUAAACGGCAAGCCACUGUUUUCACAUCAAUCUAUACAAACAAGCUAAUGUAUUAUUUUAGGAGUGAAAACAAAAUUCUUAAUUGCUCCCUAAACAUGUAGUAAAAUUCCUGUAUGUACAAAUUUUUUUUUACAAUAAAAAUGUUAAAAUUCAAGAAAAGAGAAGGAAAAAAUCAUCAAAGUCCUAAUCUCCCCAAAUAAAUACCUUUAAUGCUUUGUUGUUUUUCCUUUCAGCCUUUUGGUUAUUCUGCUCAUCCAACUUUGCAUUUUAUUUUUUCAUUGAGUUCAAUUAAUAGAAUGGUCUCUGGGAUGUCUUUUAUGAUGAUCUGUAAGUUAUGAGUUUAAAACACGUUUUUGGAAGACAUAAGAUGGUUUACAGAAAUGAAAAACUGUUAAAUAUUGUCUCUCCUGCCACAACAAAAACAUUGUUCAAAAGAAAAAAUUUUUGAAUCUUGUAACCAUGGCACAGUCAUUUUCAAAAGUACCAACUGAAAAUCGAAUUUGAAAAGAAAGUGGGAAGAAGGAAAAAGAAUCCCCAGCCCAGGCAGGCACAGGUGUGGAGAGUCAUGCAUUUCUCAGGUAAGCCCUGUGCGCUCACCUGCUCUCGGGAUGAUACCAGCUCCUUGCAAACAAACCUCAGCACUCCCUCUGUGCUGCUGCCCCCGACCAGGCCCAGCUUUAAUCCAGCGCCUCUCAACUGGACAGAUAAGAAUGGUGAUGGCUGGGGAAGGGAAACAACUCUGUGCAGGGCUGGCUCUGUCACCAGCAGCCUGAAGGGGAGCGGCCCCUCAGGGCUGCCAGGAGGGCACUUCCCUGCAGGAGUGGCCACACUCAGUCUGUUCUCAAGCAUAAGCCAGGUGAAAGUUUUGAAAUAAGGGAGAAGGGAGGAUUUUUACCUCUCUUUCUAUGAAGGGCCCAUCAUAAACUCAUUUGAAUGAUCUGAAAAGCCCCUAAGAUUUCAUUCAGUGAGGGAGCAUGCCAGAGACACUUGAAAACUAUGACAUUUUCAGUAACAGGAGCCAAUAGAGUCCUUUGAGCCUUAAUGUAGGUCCUGGAAUUCUAGACUCUUGGGGCUUGGAGGGGCUUUUUUUUUUUUUUGCGGUACGCGGGCCUCUCACUGUUGCGGCCUCUCCCAUUGCGGAGCACACGCUCCGGACGUGCAGGCUCAGCGGCCAUGGCUUAUGGGCCCAGCUGCUCCACGGCAUGUGGGAUCUUCCCGGACCGGGGCACGAACCCGUGUCCCCUGCAUUGGCAGGCGGACUCUCAACCACUGCGCCACCAGGGAAGCCCUGGAGGGGCCUUUUGAAGGUAAUAUUUCUGUUAUGAGUGGAUUACUUUUAAGCUACAAUUUAAAAAACCUAAGGAGCUUAUUCAUUUCAUCAUGAAGUGGUUACUGAAAAGUUCUGCCUUCAACUACAGUAGUGCAAAAAUCGUUUUUCAAUUUUUCUGAAUUUCAAGGAAAACAGCGGGAAAUUAUUAAUCACAAUGACGGUUGUGUUUGCCUUGUUAAGAAGAUUGGUAUUGAACUUGGAAUUUCUGUAUCAUCACUGAAUCCUUAAUUAUUGUGUCAGUUCUGAAUUUACCUCCUGUGUGUGAUGGAUUGUUUAGUGACAACAGAUCCUGUCCCCCUGCCCCUCCCCCAUGCCCACAUCCCAGGAGGCACUCCCUUUUUUAGUGUGACUUUGGGGCUCAUCUCAUCCAGAGGUAGUGUCCAUUUCUCCACUCUCUUGAAUUUGGACUGGCCUUGUUUGCUUUGACCAAUAGAACGUGGUGAAAGUGAGGUGGCUUGGUUCCUACAUGGCCUUGCAGUGCUGCCCGCACUUUCCGGAGCACUGGGAGAGAUGGGUCUCUGUCAACCCGAGGCAGUGAAUCUAGCCUACAGGAGACUGAGAGACCGAUGGAGCAGAAUCAGGCAACCACAGCCAGUACCAAUGACCAGACACAUGAGGGAGGCCAACUUAGACUGCCCUCCCAGCCAACCAGCCAGCUGCAUGCAGCUGUGUGGGUGAACAAAAACAAGACCAGCAGAGGAAUUGCCCAGCCAACUCACAGAAGAAUGAGAGAUAAUAAGUUGUUGUUUGAAGGCACUAAGUUUUGGGGGUGAUUUGUUACACAGUACUAGAUAACUGAUACAACCCAUCAAACCUUUUAAUCUGUAAUUAUGAUAUAGGAGCUCAUUUGCUUAAGGGAAUCCUUUGUAAUUCCUCUGCAAUUUUCUGUUGUUCCUCAGGUAGAGAGACAGGCUCCCUGUGUAAGGAGAACUAUUCACUUUCUUCCUCUUCUUCUUUUUAUUUUACUAUUUUAAAAAUUGAAGUAUAGUUCAUUUACAAUGUUGUUUUAGUUUCAGGUGUACAGCAAAGUGAUUCAGAUAUAUGUAUAUAUAUUAUUUUUCAGAUUCUUUUCCAUUAUAGGUUAUUAUAAGAUAUUGAAUAUAGUUCCCUGUACUAUACAGUAGGUCCUUGUUGUUUAUCAUUUUAUAUAUAGUAGUGUGUAAGUCCAAACUCUUAAUUUGUCUUUCUUAAUAAAAGAAUACUCCGAUCUUCCAAGGUUAAUAAUAGAGAGAGAAUGUCAUGUAGGAAGGGCUACUCCUCCCCUUCUCUCUCAUCACUGUCACCACCUUAGCAUGGAUACAGACCCAUUACCAGGGAAAGCUGGACCUAGACACACACAAACACACACAUGUGCAGACACAUACACAUGCACGACACACAUAUAUACGUAUAUAAAACCGAAGGUCACACAGCUAAUAAGGGUGGAUCUUGCAUUCAAGCCCAGCAGACUGGCUCCGGAGUCUGUACUGUUAACAACUGUACUCCACUGUCACAGAGAGUCAUGUAUGGUGUCUCCUAGAUGUGGCUAUCUUAGGAGCCCCUCAGGUACCAAGCCAUUCUAGCAGAUUCUCUGCUGCAUUAACUCCUUAUCUAUCUCCCAGCCUGCCUCCCUGGCCAGACACUGUUUUCCCUCCACCACCCAGGAACAUCCUCCUGUCUAGACUCCCAGAACCCAGGCCCAAAGAUGGGAACUCCUUCAUCCCAGAUGAGUUACGUGGGGAGUUCCCAUUCCCUUUAGGGUGGGGUGGAUAUUGCAGAUGCCUCACUCAACACCCUUUCUAACUUCCCUCUAGUGUUCCUUCUUGUUCUGGGAGGCUGGAAUGCUAAAACUACAUUCCCCAAGACUCCCUUGUAGGUAGUCUCAGCAUGUGACCUGUCUUUCACCAAGAAGACACACUGCUUAGGAUUAGGAGACAGAGAUGACCAGUGUGAGUACUGGCUCUGCAAAGAGAGAUCAAAUCUGACAAGUGUCAUGAGUGAGGCACCUGGACUUCCUGGUUCAGCUUCACUGGAGGUUUUGGAGUCCAUCCCUGGUGUCCAGGGUGUGGCAAAUGGCAGUGGCAGGGAAGUUUCACGAACAGUCCAGUGCAGUGGUUGGCCAUUUCUCGCGGCUGUUUUGAAACUUGCUAACAACCAAGCCCAGUUCUCUAGCCUCUCCAGAAAUUCUAUAAAAUACCUAAUACCUGGUUCAAAUAGCAACUGUUGGGUCAGGGAUAGGCUGAGCCAGCAACAAAAAGUCGACCCACAGAGACCUCAGGUCCUACCAAAAAUGAAGGAAAGAAUCCACAUCUGGAGAGCAAGGUCAAGUUGGUUGAAGAAGGAAAGAAGCCAGGAUACCAGCUCCAAAUCGAGCUAUCUAGACAGCAUUUAACUGAGUCAGGAACCCUGGCCUCCUACCACAGACUUGCCAUAUACUCAUUUUAGUGGCACAAUAUAUAGGACAUGUCUUAAGUAUAAUCGGUGACCUUUUCCUCCUGUGGCAUGAGGAAAUGAGGAAUGAUAUCUCCUACCCAGAUAUCAGAGAGGUUUUUAGAGAUUAUUCUUUGGAUCUCUCACGUUAAGAAUGAAAUAACUUUCACUCUGAAUAAGCUAAUGUCAGAGCAAGAAUUCGUUUUGGUUUAAGAUAUAAAAUAAAUCAAAGGUAAUUUGUUUCAGUCAGCCAGUAUAUCAUUAAAAAAUGUUUCCAUUCCAAGUGUUACUUUAUAAGUAAGAUAAAGUAGAGCCAAUGGGAAGAAACAAAAGCAAACCAAAGUCAAGUUAUUGCUUCUGAUGAGGUAAACCCUGUCGGGAGGAAUUGUCAAGGACCAGCUUUUCUCUGAUU